rnacentral:lncRNA from 1 species
UAUACCCUUCAUUAAAAAUGAGGGUAAAAGUGGUUAGUGUAAACAUGAAAAGUGGUACUAUGAAUGUGGUAUUUGUGGCAAUUUUCCCACAAAUAAAGGUUUUUUAACUUUACACAUUUUGGAUUUUAAAAUAAAGGUACUUUUAACUUUACAAAAUAUUCUAGUUUCAAAAAAAAGUGUGGGUGAUAUAUAUCGAAUUCAAUUAUGUUGAAAAUAAACCAAACUUUUGCAUCUUUUUUUUUUAACUUUUGCAUCCUCCUAUCCAUAGAAUUUUCUAUAUUCCAUUAGAAGCGUACAUAUGUUUAAAUGUUUUUAUAUACUGUAAUUAUAUGAU